UUUUCUCUCACUCACAGCCAUUGGAAAACCCCCUCAAGCCUUCAAACCAACAAAUUCAAUUUCGCAAUCUCUCACACCUAUCCCUCGCGACUUCACUAUCAAGCAUUCAAGUUUUGUUGCGGAAUGAAGAUAGAUCCUAUCUGAAGUUUAUUAACUUUUCAGUCUAAUAAGAAGAUCAAAGUCCCGAGUAUGCCGAAUUUGGAGACCUAAAGCUAUAGGAAAGGAUAAUACGUUUGGCGGUCUUCAAUGUAUAUUGAUUGAUGAAAUGAAAGAUGCAAUUCAAGCCUCUGCAAAAGAAAUGGAUUAAGAGGACAUUGCUCCAAAGAUUAAAUCUAAUCAUGUUUAUGAGAUCACACACUUUUGUUCUAGUCGUUGUAUACCGACCUACAAAAUUGUCCCCCAUGACGCACAAGUGUGCUUCAAUACAAAAACAAAUUUUGAAAAGUUACCAGGUGUUCAUCUACACAUUCCCUCACAUUGGUUUUACUUACUUGAUUAUUCUUAACUGUCUUCUCAUAUUGAUUGACAUGAUAUUCUCACAGGUAAUUGUA